rnacentral:rRNA from 1 species
AUGUGUCGAAGGAAAACGGAGUUUGGAGGAGCGUUCCAAAUUCAGUUGCAAGAACCUCCAAAUAAACGCCAACAAGAAAGAAAUGAGCAUUACUUGCGCGCUUUGCACUCUUAUCUCUUGCCUCUCUCAAUCCAUACAUGUAGCUGCUUAGCUGCAGAUCAUGGACACUAUCCUUGCCCAUUAGGCCAAGAGAUUGAAUCAACGACAAAUAAACUAUCAAUGGCAUCCAACCAUCGUCGCUUCCUCCUCUCCGGCGCCGUCUUGCUCUCAGUCCUCGCCGCCGUGGCCGCCCUGGAGAGCGUUGAGGACGAGUGCCAGCCAGGGGUGGCCUUCCCGCACAACGCAUUAGCCACCUGCCACACCUACGUGAUCAAACGGGUCUGCGGCCGCGGUCCCAGCCGGCCCAUGCUGGUGAAGGAGCGGUGUUGCCGGGAGCUGGCGGUCGUCCCGGAUUACUGCCGGUGCGAGGCACUGCGCGUCCUCAUGGAUGGGGUGCGCGCGGAGGAGGGCCACGUGGUGGAGGGCCGCCUUGGUGACAGACGUGACUGCCCGAGGGAGGCGCAGCGGGAGUUCGCCGCCACGCUGGUCACGGCGGCGGAGUGCAACCUGCCGACCGUCUCGGGAGUCGGGAGUACACUUGGUGCGACCGGCAGAUGGAUGACGAUCGAAUUGCCCAAGUAA